AGAGUUUGAUCAUGGCUCAGAAUCAACGCUGGCGGCGCGCUUAACACAUGCAAGUCGCACGAGAAAGUGGAGCAAUCCAUGAGUACAGUGGCGUACGGGUGAGUAACACGUGGAUCAUCUACCUCUUAGUGGGGAAUAACCCUGGGAAACCGGGGCUAAUACCGCAUAAGCUCGAGAGAGGAAAGCAGCAAUGCGCUGAGAGAGGAGUCCGCGGCCGAUUAGCUAGUUGGCAGGGUAAAAGCCUACCAAGGCAAAGAUCGGUAGCCGGCCUGAGAGGGCACACGGCCACACUGGCACUGAAACACGGGCCAGACUCCUACGGGAGGCAGCAGUGGGGAAUCUUGCACAAUGGGGGAAACCCUGAUGCAGCGACGCCGCGUGAGCGAUGAAGCCCUUCGGGGUGUAAAGCUCUUUCGGCAGGGACGAUCAUGACGGUACCUGCAGAAGCAGCUGCGGCUAACUACGUGCCAGCAGCCGCGGUAAUACGUAGGCAGCGAGCGUUGUUCGGAGUUACUGGGCGUAAAGGGUGUGUAGGCGGUUGCUUAAGUUUGGUGUGAAAUCUCCCGGCUCAACUGGG
rnacentral:rRNA from 1 species